GAUGAACGCUGGCGGCGUGCCUAAUACAUGCAAGUCGAGCGAACAGACGAGGAGCUUGCUCCUCUGACGUUAGCGGCGGACGGGUGAGUAACACGUGGAUAACCUACCUAUAAGACUGGGAUAACUUCGGGAAACCGGAGCUAAUACCGGAUAAUAUAUUGAACCGCAUGGUUCAAUAGUGAAAGACGGUUUUGCUGUCACUUAUAGAUGGAUCCGCGCCGCAUUAGCUAGUUGGUAAGGUAACGGCUUACCAAGGCAACGAUGCGUAGCCGACCUGAGAGGGUGAUCGGCCACACUGGGACUGAGACACGGUCCAGACUCCUACGGGAGGCAGCAGUAGGGAAUCUUCCGCAAUGGGCGAAAGCCUGACGGAGCAACGCCGCGUGAGUGAUGAAGGUCUUCGGAUCGUAAAACUCUGUUAUUAGGGAAGAACAAAUGUGUAAGUAACUAUGCACGUCUUGACGGUACCUAAUCAGAAAGCCACGACUAACUACGUG
rnacentral:rRNA from 1 species